AUGUACAGUAGGCCUGAUCAUUUCUACAGUAAGAUGUACAGUAGGCCUGAUCAUUUCUACAGUAAGAUGUACAGUCGGCCUGAUCAUUUCUACAUUGAGAUGUACAGUAGGCCUGAUCAUUUCUACAUUGAGAUGUACAGUAGGCCUGAUCAAUUCUACAGUAAGAUGUACAGUAGGCCUGAUCAAUUAUACAGUAAGAUGUACAGUAGGCCUGAUCAAUUAUACAGUAAGAUGUAUAGUAGGCCUGAUCAUUUCUACAGUAAGAUGUACAGUAGGCCUGAUCAUUUCUACAGUAAGAUGGACAGUAGGCCUGAUCAUUUCUACAGUAAGAUGUACAGUAGGCCUGAUCAUUUCUACAGUAAGAUGUACAGUAGGCCUGAUCAUUUCUACAGUAAGAUGUACAGUAGGCCUGAUCAUUUCUUCAGUAAGAUGUACAGUAGGCCUGAUCAUUUCUACAGUAAGAUGUACAGUAGGCCUGAUCAUUUCUACAGUAAGAUGUACAGUAGGCCUGAUCAUUUCUACAUUGAGAUGUACAGUAGGCCUGAUCAUUUCUACAGUAAGAUGUACAGUAGGCCUGAUCAUUUCUACAGUAAGAUGUACAGUAGGCCUGAUCAUUUCUACAGUAAGAUGUACAGUAGGCCUGAUCAUUUCUACAGUAAGAUUACAGUAGGCCUGAUCAUUUCUACAGUAAGAUGUACAGUAGGCCUGAUCAUUUCUACAUUGAGAUGUACAGUAGGCCUGAUCAUUUCUACAGUAAGAUGUACAGUAGGCCUGAUCAUUUCUACAGUAAGAUGUACAGUAGGCCUGAUCAAUUCUACAGUAAGAUGUACAGUAGGCCUGAUCAUUUCUACAGUGAGAAGUACAGUAGGCCUGAUCAUUUCUACAGUAAGAUGUACAGUAGGCCUGAUCAAUUCUACAGUAAGAUGUACAGUAGGCCUGAUCAAUUCUACAGUAAGAUGUACAGUAGGCCUGAUCAUUUCUACAAUAAGAUGUACAGUAGGCCUGAUCAUUUCUACAGUAAGAUGUACAGUAGGCCUGAUCAUUUCUACAGUAAGAUGGACAGUAGGCCUGAUCAUUUCUACAGUAAGAUGUACAGUAGGCCUGAUCAUUUCUACAGUAAGAUGUACAGUAGGCCUGAUCAUUUAUACAGUAAGAUGUACAGUAGGCCUGAUCAUUUCUACAGUAAGAUGUACAGUAGGCCUGAUCAUUUCUACAGUAAGAUGUACAGUAGGCCUGAUCAUUUCUACAGUAAGAUGUACAGUAGGCCUGAUCAUUUCUACAUUGAGAUGUACAGUAGGCCUGAUCAUUUCUACAGUAAGAUGUACAGUAGGCCUGAUCAUUUCUACAGUAAGAUGUACAGUAGGCCUGAUCAUUUCUACAGUAAGAUGUACAGUAGGCCUGAUCAUUUCUACAGUAAGAUUACAGUAG
rnacentral:lncRNA from 1 species